ensembl:lncRNA
CGUCAUUCGCACAUCUUGUUGGGGCCAGUUAUGACCUUGAGUGAUGUAGGUUGAGGAACUAUCAGAUGUAGGUUGAGGAACUAUCAGAUGUAGGUUGAGGAACUAUCAGAUGUAGGCUGAGGAACUAUCAGAUGUAGGCUGAGGAACUAUGAGAUGUAGGUUGAGGAACUAUCAGAUGUAGGUUGAGGAACUAUGAGAUGUAGGUUGAGGAACUAUCAGAUGUAGGUUGAGGAACUAUCAGAUGUAGGCUGAGGAACUAUGAGAUGUAGGUUGAGGAACUAUCAGAUGUAGGUAGAGGAACUAUGAGAUGUAGGUUGAGGAACUAUCAGAUGUAGGUUGAGGAACUAUCAGAUGUAGGCUGAGG